rnacentral:rRNA from 1 species
GACGAACGCUGGCGGCAUGCUUAACACAUGCAAGUCGAACGAGACCGUCGGGUCUAUUUGCGCACGGCUGCUUACCACCUGGGAACCUACCCUUAAGUUCGGUAUACCUGCCCGAAAGGGAUGCUAAGGCCAGUUAAGCUCUUCCCGCCAAAGAUUUAUCGCCGUUGGGUGGGGCCGCGUUGGAUUGGCUGGUUGGUAGGGUACAAGCCUACCAAGGGCACGAUGCUUAGCUGGUCUGAUACGAGGCUCAGCCACACUGGGGCUGCGACACGGCCCAGACUCCGACGCAGGGGAGGAGUGGAGAAUAUUAUGCGCUGAGCGCAAGUCUAGUAACGCAAUGCCGGGUGAGUGAUGCAGGCGUUAGGGUUGUAAAGUUGUUUUACACGGGAUGAUAAUGACAGUACCGGGAGAAUAAGCACCGGCUAACUACGUG